AUAGCUUCUCGGCCUUUUGGCUAAGAUCAAGUAUAAUAUCUGUUCUUAUCAGUUUAAAGAGGCCCAUCUCUUGACCAGGGCUUUCCUGGUGGCUCAGCUGGUAAAGAGUCCACCUUCAAUGCCAGAGACCUGGGUUCGAUCCCUA
rnacentral:snRNA from 1 species